rnacentral:rRNA from 1 species
AUUGAACGCUGGCGGCAUGCUUUACACAUGCAAGUCGAACGGCAGCGCGGGCUUCGGCCUGGCGGCGAGUGGCGAACGGGUGAGUAAUAUAUCGGAACGUACCCAAGAGUGGGGGAUAACGUAGCGAAAGUUACGCUAAUACCGCAUACGAUCUAAGGAUGAAAGCAGGGGAUCGCAAGACCUUGUGCUCCUGGAGCGGCCGAUAUCUGAUUAGCUAGUUGGUGAGGUAAAGGCUCACCAAGGCAACGAUCAGUAGCUGGUCUGAGAGGACGACCAGCCACACUGGAACUGAGACACGGUCCAGACUCCUACGGAGGCAGCAGUGGGGAAUUUUGGGACAAUGGGGGGCAACCCUGAUCCAGCAAUGCCGCGUGAGUGAAGAAGGCCUUCGGGUUGUAAA